rnacentral:piRNA from 1 species
UACCUCAUGAAUUAAAAGAUUGCAAUUGUU